rnacentral:miRNA from 1 species
AUCACCUAGGGUUCUUGUUAAAAUUCUGAUUCUGUAGAUUAGGGGUGGGGCCUGAGAUUCUGCAUUUCUAAGAAGUUCCCUGGUGAUGC